rnacentral:misc_RNA from 1 species
AACAGCCAGGAGCAGUGACCAAGCCGCCGGAGCUGGGGAGAGACGCACCGGGGCGGCGACUGGGCCAGGAGACCAGGGACUGAGGGACGCGCCCGGGGAGGGCCAGCAACAAGCCGCGGCCCGGGCGCGACAGCGGCGGUCCGCGCCGAGCCGUUCCAGCCGCCGGCCUACUGUAGCCGCUGCGCCAGGACAUUUUUUUUUAAAGCUCUCCAAGCUGCCCCCCUCCUCCCCGACUCCUCCCGCUGCAAAAGAAAAACAAAAAAAAAAAAGGAAGGAGGCUAGAAAGGAAACCCAGAUUUGCCACCACAACGAAAAAAAGAAGGGGAAAAGGAAAAGGAGAGAAAGUCGAGCGACUGUGGGGUUAGACGGAGGCAGACAGAGCGUGGGCCGAGCGAUGCGGGGCUGUGCGCCCAGGCGGCCGCGAGUUGUGACUGGAGCCACGAUGCACGGCCAGGCGCGCUCUACCUCAAGCCCCGGAGAACUCAGCGGCGCUUUCCUCGCAACCCGAGCUCGGCGAGUCGUCGUCUUCUUCUUCUCCGUUUUUAUUUAUUUAUUUCCGUUCCCGCC